UGGCGGCAGGCUUACACAUGCAAGUCGAACGGUAGCAGGAGAAAGCUUGCUUUCUUGCUGACGAGUGGCGGACGGGUGAGUAAUGCUUGGGAAUCUGGCUUAUGGAGGGGGAUAACUACUGGAAACGGUAGCUAAUACCGCGUAAUGUCUACGGACUAAAGGGUGGGACCAUUUGGCCACCUGCCAUAAGAUGAGCCCAAGUGGGAUUAGGUAGUUGGUGAGGUAAAGGCUCACCAAGCCCGCGAUCUCUAGCUGGUCUGAGAGGAUGACCAGCCACACUGGAACUGAGACACGGUCCAGACUCCUACGGGAGGCAGCAGUGGGGAAUAUUGCACAAUGGGGGGAACCCUGAUGCAGCCAUGCCGCGUGAAUGAAGAAGGCCUUCGGGUUGUAAAGUUCUUUCGGUGACGAGGAAGGCGAUUGUUUUAAUAGAACAGUCGAUUGACGUUAAUCACAGAAGAAGCACCGGCUAACUCCGUGCCAGCAGCCGCGGUAAU
rnacentral:rRNA from 1 species